rnacentral:misc_RNA from 1 species
GGUGAAGAACGUAGUGAAAUGCGAUAAGUAAUGUGAAUUGCAGAAUUCAGUGAAUCAUCGAAUCUUUGAACGCACAUUGCGCCCGCCAGUAUUCUGGCGGGCAUGCCUGUUCGAGCGUCAUUACAACCCUCAGGCCCCCGGGCCUGGCGUUGGGGAUCGGCGGAGCCCCCCGUGGGCACACGCCGUCCCCCAAAUGCAGUGGCGGUCCCGCCGCAGCUUCCAUCGCGUAGUAGCUAACACCUCGCGACUGGAGAGCGGCGCGGCCACGCCGUAAAACACCCAACUCUUCUGAAGUUGACCUCGAAUCAGGUAGGAAUACCCGCUGAACUUAAGCAUAUCAAUAAGCGGAGGA